rnacentral:rRNA from 1 species
GACGAACGCUGGCGGCGUGCUUAACGCAUGCAAGUCGAACGGAAAGGCCCUGCUUUUGUGGGGUGCACGAGUGGCGAACGGGUGAGUAACACGUGAGUAACCUGCCCUUGACUUUGGGAUAACUUCAGGAAACUGGGGCUAAUACCGGAUAGGAGCUCCUGCUGCAUGGUGGGGGUUGGAAAGUUUCGGCGGUUGGGGAUGGACUCGCGGCUUAUCAGCUUGUUGGUGGGGUAGUGGCUUACCAAGGCUUUGACGGGUAGCCGGCCUGAGAGGGUGACCGGCCACAUUGGGACUGAGAUACGGCCCAGACUCCUACGGGAGGCAGCAGUGGGGAAUAUUGCACAAUGGGCGGAAGCCUGAUGCAGCAACGCCGCGUGCGGGAUGACGGCCUUCGGGUUGUAAACCGCUUUCGCCUGUGACGAAGCGUGAGUGACGGUAAUGGGUAAAGAAGCACCGGCUAACUACGUG